rnacentral:rRNA from 1 species
UACGUAGGGGCGUAGCGUUGUCCGGAAUCAUUGGGCGUAAAGAGCGUGUAGGCGGCUUGGUAAGUCCGCUGUGAAAGUCCAGGGCUCAACCCUGGAAUGCCAGUGGAUACUGUCAAGCUAGAGUCGGAAGAGGCGAGUGGAAUUCCUGGUGUAGCGGUGAAAUGCGCAGAUAUCAGGAGGAACACCAAUGGCGAAGGCAGCUCGCUGGGACGGUACUGACGCCUGAGACGCGAAAGCGUGGGGAGCAAACAGG